GAGAUAUUAGAAAAACUAUUUCAUGGCUUUGUCAAGGUCAAAUUAUAGGUUAAAUCCUAUAUAUCUUA
rnacentral:tRNA from 1 species